UCCCUUGUAGCUCAGUUGGUAAAGAAUCUGCCUGCAAUGCAGGAGACCCAGGUUCGAUUCCUGGGUUGUGAA
rnacentral:tRNA from 1 species